UGGAACUUAAUAGUUAUAAAUAGUACUAGUAAGUUCAAAUUUAUCUAACUUUGACGUCAAACGACCACAAAUAUGGCUAGAAGAAGGAACAAUAACCAAAACAACGACAACAAUUCAAAUGAGGAUGAACCAAAAGUUAACAUGCCUUAUAAUGAUUAAGUUUCACGUAAUGAUUUGACUUCUAACCCUGUCGUUAGCCAAAUACAAUCAGGUCUAAUAGUAAAUUCUCCAAAUCGAAGAACAAAUGCCAAUAUACCACCUUUUGGUUUACCCACAAGCUUUGUUCCUUCAACAUAACUCACAUUCACUGCACCAGCAGAGAUUG
rnacentral:lncRNA from 1 species